CAUUAUUGGGCUACUGUCUUCUUCAUCCCCAAAAAACACCUCACUAUUUACCCUUUGCUAAUUGAGAGUUGAGAUUGUGGAGAAGUCGUUAUCAUCAGACAUCAGAUAUUUUCUCAGAUUUAAGUUUUAGUACUCAAUUCAAUAAAAUUGGACCAAACAAACCGGGCUUUGGCAGUUUUGGGGCUAAAUUCUUUUAGGCCCAAAACUGGGGCAACUCUAUUUUGGCAGAACCAGAAGAAGGAAUUACACAUGCAAUCAAUCGAUUUGAAGAGGGAUCCAUGGCUUUAACAACUCCUCAAGGGGAUACAAACACUUUCUUUGGAAAGCUAAUCCUUAAAGCAUCAGAUUUUCUUCGAGAUGGUUGCUCAUGUUCCAGAUUCUGAUGUUGGUUCACACAUUGCUACACCUAUAGAAAACGAGUAAGGUUGUGAUGUGAAACUCCACGUUUUCUAGAAGCGUACCAAUGUGCGAGUUGAUAUUAGCUCCCCCUUCCCCCCAAAAAUCGAACUCGGGCUAAGCUUAUACUCCAAUAAUUUAUAAGAUGUUUUAUGAGUUUAUAAGUUAUCAAAAUGUAUGAAUAAUUGGGCUUAUAAGCUAGAAUGAUACUUUUGAGCUAAGGAGAGAGUAUCAUAGUUAGAUAGAAAAAUUGAAGAGAAAAUGAACUUGGAAGGUUAUGUGAUGAAAAUAAUAAACUACAUUAUAAUUAUUUUUGUGAAAUAAUUGUUGUUUAUAAGAUUAUGAAAAAAUAAGUUGAUGU